GACGAACGCUGACGGCGUGCUUAACACAUGCAAGUCGAAGGGAGUGGCGAACGGGUGAGUAACACGUGAGUAACCUGCCCUUUUCUUUGGGAUAAGCACGGGAAACUGGGUCUAAUACUGGAUGGAUUGGGAGGGGCUCGCGGCUUAUCAGCUUGUUGGCGGGGUGAUGGCUUACCAAGGCGUUGGCGGGUAGCCGGCCUGAGAGGGUGGUCUGGAACACUGGGACGGGGAUACGGCCCAGAGUCCGACGGGGGGCAGCAGUGGGGGAAAUUGCACAAUGGACGAAAGGCGGAUGCAGCGACGUCGUGGGGGGGAUGAGGGCCUUAGGGUUGUAAACUCCUUUCGCCCGCGGAAUGGUAGUGGGUAAAGAAGCGCCGGCUAACUACGUGCCAGCAGCCGCGGUAAUAC
rnacentral:rRNA from 1 species